rnacentral:ncRNA from 1 species
GAGUUAUAUGAAAAGAGAUGUUUAGCAUCUCCCUUGAUAUCUAUGCACACACAAGUUAAAACAUUGCUACCUUCUUUGUGAUAUCUAACCAAGCUUUUCA